CACUGGACCACCGAGUGCCACCACCAGCCACUCUCACUCCCCUCAUCCCGCCGGCCGUUGCCAACCCCGCGCCACCACCAAGCUCAGCCCGUGCGCCGCCCGUUCCCCAUCCCACGCUCCAGAAAGCGCACCUGAGCGCCGCCCACCUCGUCUCCCGGCGCCCCAUCCCCACUGGCCGCCCCGAUCCCCUCGCCGUCCUCCAGCUCCAGCUCGACCUAACACCGCCGGCGUAAGCAGCUUCUCAACCCGAGCUCCUUCCUCCUGCUCCUGCCCAACAUCGAGCUCUAUCGAUCGGAUCUUCAAGCUCCACCACCGGCCUCGUCGUCCAGCUCCUGCCCAACCCUAGCGCCGUCGACCUCAUCUUCUAGCUUCGCCGCCUACCUCGUAUUCCAGCUGCCUGCCGGCCGCCGGUUCGGGUCGCUACUGGUUGCCGCCCGAUCUCCUCUGCAGUCGUCGCCCCGAGCAUGUCCACCUCGGCUAGAAGGCUCUGAAUUAAAGUUGAUCAUGACCACUUCUGUAUGUGCAAUGUGCAGCUAUGUGUGAGGCUCUGCAUACACUGCAGUGAACAGCAAGUAAAGGAUACAUAACCAAGACCCAGUGAAUCUCUCACACCAUGGCGAAGCACAUCAAGCACAAUGGCCAAGCUCUCCUACUACUUUUGUUGGUUCUUGUGAUUUGCUUGGCCACUCCUCCGCCGAUAUACGGACGGAGCAUCGACAAGAUGGGGAUCAACAUAACGGAUGUGAGCUAUCGUUGUCGCUACGCCAUAUUUCCGCCAAAUGCAUUCAAGUGGUGCUGCGAUGGUCCUUGCUGGGGUGGCCCGUGCUACAAGCACAGAGACGAUUGCGUCAAGACUUGCCAGUGUCCCGACCCAUGAAUGAUGAUCAUCAUGUUUCCUAUCAAUCUGCACUUUGCUGAUUGCGUUGGAGCGAAUAAUUUUAGUGUUUCUGAAACUGUACUAGGUUUUUUUCCUUUUCCUAUCGAUUUGUAAGUCUGCGUGUGGAAACUCACCCUGAUGUGUGGUGAUGUAAGGGAAAGGAAUGGCUCGGAGCUGGUUGCCAGUUUUUCCCCAAUUUGCUCGGACAAGAAAACGAGCUACCUUGA